GGUAGAGGUUAACGUUAGAGAGAACCCCGAGUCAAGCAACAUGGUUAAAGUCUCAAGAAGCGAGGAAAAACUUGAACUCUCUUUCGUACUCUCACCAGGAUGUGUGGUAGCUACUCUUGUUCGCCCUGGCAAAUCCGCCCAACAUGCUCUAAACUACUUCAACUCCUAUGUCCUUGAUAAGCAUACAUUUGCUAUGGAGCUGGACAUCGUGUGUUCGAGUCUGGAUCUGUACGAUCUGAACUACAUUCUGUACAGGUGUGAUGAGGAGGAAAGGGUGGACGGGUGUGGAGGGGUUUACGAUAUUCCUGGAUACGGUAAACUCACCUACGCUGGACUAGUUG